CAGCAGCCCUUGCAGACGCCUACAAUGAAAUUGGCGAAGUUUUUUCGGUUUCGGCGCCAUUUUCGAGUGGACUCGGAGCUCCCAUGUGGUUGGAGGCACUGGCAGGAGGAGCUGUAGCCCACGGCCAGGUGAGGGCAGGUAAGUGCUGGGAGCCUGCAGCACUCGCAUCCCAUCCCACACCUUACACAGUGAGUGUAGGGCAGCUCACUGCUGUGACACGCAGAGCUCAGAGCCAUUCUCCAUCAGAAGCACACAGCACUCUCCCAGGUAUGUAUUUCCCCACCUAUCCCAGAUUUCCAGCUUCUCUGCGAGCUGCUUGGUGGGCACGUGUUGAAAGCUUUGCAACAGUGUCCUGCACCUUGUCCAGCUACAACCAGGACUUUGCAUUACUUAAUAUAUUUAUAUAAGUGGAUGCUACGACUGAGCUGGUUUGCUAUUGCCUUUUUAACGUAUUUUAUUCUGUUUUCUCGAGCUGCUUGAAGAGAUGGAAGCAGUGAUCCUCCCCAUGUGCAGCCCUUCGCAGUGCUGUUGCCGAAGCAGAGCUGAAGCACUGCAGGGCUGCUCUGCUGCACCCCGGGUGGGUUUCCCUUCGGCUGUUGGCUCUUUACAGCACAGCAGUUGCACUUUGCAGAGCUGGAGCUGCUGCCAUCAGCACAGAGGACAUUGAAGUGAUGGAAAAAAUACUUUUUUUUUUCUUUCCUUUUUGCCAAUAUUGAAUUGGCUGUUUCCAAUAGGCUGGCACGGGCCGGGAGGGCUCUUGAAAUCCCGUUCUUCAGUUUGCUAAAGGGGCAGAGCAGCACAGGGGCUGAGCUCCCUGUGGGACAGGCCUGGCUGCUGCCGUCGUUCUGCGCUGCUGUGACGUUGCUUUUUGGGAAAAUGAAUUGAAGGAAGUUGUCACAUAACUGGGGGAAAAAAGUCAAGAGGAAACAAAGAAGUGCGGGCUGUCUGCACAGGUCUGGGCGCUCUGUGCUGCAGCCUCAGCCUCUGCUCUGCACAGGGAAUGAUGGAGGGUCAGAGGACCUUUAUUUUCUGGUUGCAGAUGGUUUGUCCAUUCUAAAGGUACAUGAGCAUCAUGUCAGCUUGAGGAAAAAAAGCUUUUCCCCCUUUCCUUUCCUUCCUUCUUUCCUCCUUUCUUUCUUUUUCCCUUCCUUCCUUCCCUUCAGCAGUUUAAGGACACACGAGGUUUGCCCUGCUAAGCUGUGCAUUCAGCUGCUGGCACUGUGAUUCCUGGCCAACAGCUGAUGCACCACAGCCCCUAAGGGAAGAAGGAAAGGCAGUGGAUCAUUCCCCCACAAGCUCUGGGGGUGCAGCUGUGCCAUGUUGCAGCACUGUGGGUUUGGGGAGUGGGGUAUUUCUGUCUGUUUGCACUGUGUAACUGCUUGUUCUUUGUAGUUGCAGGUUGAUAGCACCUGGAAGGCAAAAAAAAAACCCAAACAAAAACAAACCAAAUCAACACAAAAGUCCUGAGGUGGUAAUGCAUGCAUGUUCAUGUCUUCAUGUAGAGCGUUCGUCACUGCCUUAUGUCAUGAUUUACAAAUAAUAAUAAUAAUAACAAUAAUAAUAACCAAAAUACCAUUUGGAAUGCCAACAUUCAGUGGGCUUUGAGGAGAUGUAGCAGCACAUCAUGGUUUGUAGGGACAAGGAGAUACAGACCAUUCUGGGCUGCCUCAUUACCUCAAGGAUAAGACAAGAAAGUGAGCUUCUGGUUAUCAUAGGGGUGGAGGCUGACGUGUCCCCAUAGCCCUUAGCUCAGGAGCACGGGGAUGUGCAGGUACACCUGUCUGUGGGGUGGCCGUGCAGGAAGGGCUCUGCUCCUCCUGUGCUCUUUGAGUCCAUCCCGGGUGGAGCAGUGCCUCCAGAGCAAUAUUGCUCCACGUUCAGCCUUUUCCCAGCCCCCUCUGAUUUGGGGGGUGGAUACGGGGGGAUUGAAGGCUGUGGGGAGAUGCACGGGGCUGGAGAGCUGUCAGCAGUGCUCUAGCAGCACGUAAAUACUGGAGUGGGGGAUCGCCUGUUGCUCUCCAGUAUUGCAUUGCUGCUUUAGUGAGGCUGGAAAUCAGUCCCUGGCACCUGGGGGUUCUGUGCUGCAGGGGGUGGGGGGGGAACCUAUCUCCAGCACCAAUAAAUCACAGUGAGUAACGAGGGCCUGGUGUCAUUAAUGGGGUCAGGACUCUGGCAUGGGGAGACCGAGCCCUUCCCCAGCAUCCUGGGUGGGAAAUGAGGUUCUGGGGAGGUGGUGGGAGCUGGAGGUAGGGUAAGAAGCAAGUGCUGUGCCCUUGGCAUCUCCCAUGCUGAACUACCCAGUUCUGGUGGCAGCAAAGGGGCACCUGUGGGCUGAAGGCUGCUUCCCUUGGGGCUGCACCGCACUACUGGGCCAUCAGGGGACAUCCAUCCUCUGCAGCAGCAGUGAGUCCACGCGUCUUGCAGGUGAUGGUGCCUCACUGGCAGCCCCAGUCCUAUGCUGUGCUGGGGGUUCUGGUGGCUGGCUGUCCCACAGCAGUGGGUUUUCAACUGUUUCCUGCAAUUACUGAAUCCCAGUCUAGUUGUGGGGCAGGAGGGUGGUGGGGAAAUGUCCCCUCGCUGCUUCGUGGCUCAGCUGUGGCCCAGCAGCACGGAAGGUGAGCACUUCUGCAUUUCUAUUCUUAAUCUUGCAAGUUUUACAUCAGUUUUUUGUUUGUUUUUUUUUUUUUAAUGCUUUAAAAAUUUUGCAUCAUCAUUUUAUGUGCAGAGGCAGAGAGUCUGAAACCAGACUUGCUGUGUUGCAGACCACAAAGGCACAGGGGCACAAAGAGGUGGUGUGGGACUGCUUCCUGCCUGCAGAAUGCACAGGGAGGGUCACAGGUAGAGGUAGGGGUGCCUUGAACCACAACUGCCCUGAGCAGCAGUGCCAUUCCCUGCACAACAGCUACUAGUGAGUAAUUCAAGGCUGCACAGACCCUUGCUUUGAAUUCUCUAAUCCAGGACUUCUCUUUAACACAAAACCACCCCCCAAAAGGAACCACCAGCACAAUUAUCAUACAAGCUUUCUAUCACCCCUCCGAGCUCAGCCUGGAGCACCUGUGAUCCAGAUCACUGCGAGUUUAAAGCAAGAUUUUCUCGGUGCUUUCAUAUACUUUAACAAUUGCUCUUCUGCAAGGCCAGCCCCCCAGGCUGCACAGCUCCAGCACCCUUUCCUUGCUCCAACAAAGCCCCUGUUGUGACACCCAUCCUCUCCAGCCUCUCACAUCGCAGCAUUUGAGUAACAUCCUACACCAAGGCAGGAAAACACUGCAGAGCAAGAACUCGUGUCAGGGUUUAGUCCUAAAAGAUAUGAGCAAGUCUCACUGUUUCAUUGUGUUUCAUGUACUUCUACGCCCCCUUUUGAGUGCAAUAUCCAGAUGCCAUCAAUUAUUCCAGAAUGCAGUGAUGCAGGAACUAUGCAGAGGUUGGAGAGAACAUUGCUUUCUGUAAUGAGGCCUUCAUUCCAAUGAAAACUCAAAUAGAUGUCAUAAUACUAAAGAGGGUUUGUAGUUUUCUGUGUUGCUUUUUGUGCUUCCUCUCCUCAGCCAAGCACCACCUGCUGAAAGGAAGUCCUGAGCACAGCACAGUUCUCCACACACACACAUUCAGAAAUGGAAUCAGCCUAUAUAGUGCCAUUAGAAAAGCUCUUUGGAACAUUAACCAUAACAUGAACAAAAGUAAAUUUCAAUUGUGAGCAGUGUUAUUUUUCUUACUGAUUUGCAACUAGAUCUCCAGCACACUGAUCAUUACACAAUUACAUGGUGUAAGUUACUCACGUUUUAGGGCUGCCAUUAAGAGCCACGGUUGCAACUGAACACACCAAGGGCAGACAGUGCUGCAAGGUGCUUGGAGUGUAAAAAAUACUACUCAAAAACCAGGAAACACCUUGCAGAACAGAUGACAAAUGCUUCAUUAUGUACCAAGCACUGCCAGCACCAAAUCCCAGCACGCAGUGAGUCCAUGUGCAAGCACACCAACUGCAUAAGCAAAGGACAGAGCAGCACAGCAGAAGGAAAGGUGUGCACUGCCAUGGUUAGCAUUGCAACAGAAACAAGAUGUGAAUAAAAGCAGGUACUUACAAAUUGGCUGGGUUCUCUCUCCCUGAUAUGUGUUUAAUGAAGGAGUAUCUGUCACUCUUCACUGUUGCCAAAACAGGAGAAGGGACAGCACUCGGAAUGUUCUCUGAAGUCCAGUUUGGUUACAGCAUAUGCCAGCCUUCCUAAAGCUUUCCCUCAGGCCUUCAUCAUCUCCCAUAGACAGCACUGCACUGACAGAAAGCUCUGCAGAGGUAACAAACGUGGAGCCUGCCUUCACUGCCAGAAGCACUGAUGAAAUACGCUGCUGAGAAGAGAAUCUCGAGAGUACCUCAAUGUACACAGUGAGUGCAAUAGAUGUGUGGGGCAUAUUUUAAAGAGAGAGCCUUUAUUUAAAGUACUUUGCCUUGUAGUUCUUAGAAAGUAAACAUUACAAUACUUUUUCUUCUUUUUUUCCCACAAAUAUAUUAAAACUGUUUAAAUUUAAAAGGCAAUUUCACUGUCUGAUGGAUAUUUUUAAAGAAAAAAAAAAUCUGAAAGAAACAGGCAGCUCAACUAAAACUAGACUUCAAACAUUCUGUCAUUCCAUCUCAAAAAAAGAAGAAAAAGAAAAGA